rnacentral:rRNA from 1 species
AACGUUGCCAACUGUCUUUUAGAUGCGGUUAUUUAUAUGACUCAUCUGGCGGAUCUCGAGAAAUCUAAGUUUUUAGGUUCCGGGGGAAGUAUGGUUGCAAAGCUGAAACUUAAAAGAAUUGACGGAAGGACACACAAGAAGUGGAGCCUGUGGCCUAAUUUGACUCAACACGGGAAACCUUACUCGGCCAGGACACUUUUAGGAUUGACAGAUUGAGAGCUCUUUCUUGAUUAGGUGGGUGGUGGUGCAUGGUCGUUCGUAGUUCGUGGAGCGAUUUGUCUGAUUAAUUUCGAUAACGAACGAGACUCCGGCUUACUAAAUAGUCUAAAGUUCGAAGGGACUUUUCAAGACUUCUUAGCAGGAUAAGUGGCACUUUUUAAGCCACACGAAAUGGAGCAAUAACAGGUCUGUGAUGCCCUUAGAUGUCCGAGGCUGCACGCGCGCUACACUGGAGAGUUCAGAAUGUUUCUUCCUACUUCGACAGGAGUGGGUAACCAUGAAAUUCUCUUCGUGACUGGGAUCGGAGCUUGCAAUUAUUCUCCGUCAACGAGGAAUUCCUAGUAAGCACUAUUUCAUCAGAAUGUGCUGAUUAUGUCCCUGUCCUUUGUACACACCGCCCGUCGCUACUACCGAUUGAAUGUUUUAGUGAGAUCUUCGGCUUGGUUUUCCGAGCGGCUCUCGGGUCGUUCGGUUUAUAUCGAAAAGAUGCUCAAACUGGAUCAUUUAGAGGAAGUAAAAGU